CAGUGCCACGGGAAUACGUAGGGUGCAAGCGUUGUCCGGAAUUAUUGGGCGUAAAGAGCUCGUAGGCGGUUUGUCGCGUCUGCUGUGAAAUCCCGAGGCUCAACCUCGGGCUUGCAGUGGGUACGGGCAGACUAGAGUGCGGUAGGGGAGAUUGGAAUUCCUGGUGUAGCGGUGGAAUGCGCAGAUAUCAGGAGGAACACCGAUGGCGAAGGCAGAUCUCUGGGCCGUAACUGACGCUGAGGAGCGAAAGCGUGGGGAGCGAACAGGAUUAGAUACCCCUGUAGUCCCUGUCUCUUAUACA
rnacentral:rRNA from 1 species